rnacentral:rRNA from 1 species
AGAUUGAACGCUAGCGGCAUGCUUUACACAUGCAAGUCGAACGGCAGCGCGGGGCAACCUGGCGGCGAGUGGCGAACGGGUGAGUAAUAUAUCGGAACGUACCCAAGAGUGGGGGAUAACGUAGCGAAAGUUACGCUAAUACCGCAUACGAUCUAAGGAUGAAAGCAGGGGACCGCAAGGCCUUGUGCUCCUGGAGCGGCCGAUAUCUGAUUAGCUAGUUGGUAGGGUAAAGGCCUACCAAGGCUACGAUCAGUAGCUGGUCCGAGAGGACGACCAGCCACACUGGAACUGAGACACGGUCCAGACUCCGUACGGGAGGCAGCAGUGGGAAUUUGGACAAUGGGCGCAAGCCUGAUCCAGCAAUGCCGCGUGAGUGAAGAAGGCUUCGGUGUAAGCUCUUUGUCAGGAAGAACGGUGGAGUCUAAGUAUCUCCCGACUAAUUCGACGGUUACCUGUAAGAAGUAACGACACCGGUACUAACCGUACGUCGACCGA